UACGGAGGGUGCGAGCGUUAAUCGGAAUUACUGGGCGUAAAGCGCGCGUAGGCGGUUUGUUAAGUCAGCUGUGAAAGCCCCGGGCUCAACCUGGGAACUGCAGUUGAUACUGGCCGACUGGAGUGCGAGAGAGGGAGGUAGAAUUCCAUGUGUAGCGGUGAAAUGCGUAGAUAUAUGGAGGAAUACCGGUGGCGAAGGCGGGUCUCUGGGCCGAUACUGACGCUGAGGAGCGAAAGCGUGGGGAGCGAACAGG
rnacentral:rRNA from 1 species